GAUGAACGCUGGCGGCGUGCCUAAUACAUGCAAGUCGAGCGAACAGACGAGGAGCUUGCUCCUCUGACGUUAGCGGCGGGCGGGUGAGUAACACGUGGAUAACCUACCUAUCAGACUGGGAUAACUUCGGGAAACCGGAGCUAAUACCGGAUGAUAUAUUGAACCGCAUGGUUCAAUAGUGAAAGACGGUUUUGCGGUCACUUAUAGAUGGAUCCGCGCCGCAUUAGCUAGUUGGGAAGGUAACGGCCUACCAAGGCAACGAUGCGUAGACGACCUGAGGGGGUGAUAGGCAACACUGGAACUGAGACACGGUCCAGACUCCUACGGGAGGCAGCAGUAGGGAAUCUUCCGCAAUGGGCGAAAGCCUGACGGAGCAACGCCGCGUGAGUGAUGAAGGUCUCCGGAUCGUAAAACUCUGUUAUUAGUGAAGAACAAAUGUGUAAGUAACCAUGCCCGUCUUGACGGUACCUAAUCAGAAAGCCCCGGCUAACUACGUG
rnacentral:rRNA from 1 species